AGCAUGAUCUUAAUGCUUUUGAGCCCUUUUAACACGAGAACUGCUACAGUAGCUUCUGCAGCGUUUGUGGUAUUUGGCCUUUUUAACACAAGUGUUGAUGCGAUACCUGAACCAUCAUUCAAUUGAUCAAUUGUGACAUUUAUACAUGAAGGUAUAGCAUUUGCAAUUUCAAUGAAAUCUUUGAGAUCUUUUUCUAGCGAUAAAAAUAUCCUUAGCUUUUGGGUGUUUGUAAGGGGUCAUCAGACUGUAAUUGGCAGAGACAACAUAUGUAAGUCCCAAUUGAUGCAGCUGCUGCUACUACUACAGAUGAUGCGGAGGCCAUAUUGUUUGAUAAUAGCUACACUGAAAAAUGCAUUACAUGAAAAUAAAAUUGAUGAUUUUCACAGUGUUAGAUUAGGCCAGGGGUCACCAAACUUUUUGAAACCAACAGCUACUUCUUGGGUACUUAUUAAUGCGAAGGGCUACCAGUUUGAUACACACUUAAAUAAAUUGCCAGAAAUAGCCAAUUUGCUCAAUUUACCUUUAAUAAAUAAAUCUUUAUGUAUAAAAAAAAUGGGUAUUUCUGUUUGUCAUUCCGUCGUACAUUUUUUUUCCUUUUAACGGAAGGUUUUUUUGUAGAGAAUAAAUGAUGAAAAAAACACUUAAUUGAACAGUUUAAAAGAGGAGAGAACACGAAAAAACUAAAAAUAAAAUUUUGAAACAUAGUUUAUCUGCAAUUUCGACUCUUUAAAAUUCAAAAUUCUAGAACUAGCUAAUUUGAAUCUUUUUUUAAAAAAUAUUUUUUUUUUAUGGAACAUCAUUAGUCAUUUUUCCUGAUUAAGAUUAAUUUUAGAAUUUUGAUGACAUGUUUUAAAUAGGUUAAAACCCAAUCUGCACUUUGUUAGAAUAUAUAACAAAUUGGACCAAGCUAUAUUUCUAACAAAGACGAAUCAUUAUUUCUUCUAGAUUUUCCAGAACAAACAUUUUAAAAUAAAUUCAAAAGACUUUGAAAUAAGAUUUAAAUUUGAUUCUACAGAUUUUCUAGAUUUGCCAGAAGAAUUUUUUUGAAUUUUAAUCGUAUUAAGUUUGAAGAAAUAUUUCACAAAUUAGCUUCGUCGAAAAAACAGAAGCUAAAAUGAAGAAUUUAAUUAAAAUGUAUUUAUUAUUUUUCACAAUAAAAAAAAUACUUGAACAUUGAUUUAAAUUGUCAGGAAAGAAGAGGAAAGAAUUUAAAAGGUAAAAAGGUAUGUGUUUAAAAAUCCCAAAAUCAUUUUUAAGGUUCUAAUUUUUCUCUAAAAUUGUCUUUCUGAAAGUUAUAAGAAGCAAAGUAAAAAAAGAAAUUAAUUUAUUUAAACAAGUGAAGAAGACCAAGUCCUUGAAAUAUUUUCUUGGAUUUUCAAAUUCUAUUUGAGUUUUGUCUCUCUUAGAAUUAAACAUGUCGAGCAAAGCGAGACCAGCUUGCUAUUAAAUAAGUAAAAUCUAAAAAAUAGAGGCAGUUCACUGGUAAGUGCUGCUAUUUGAGUUAUUUUUAGAACAGGCCAGCGGACUACUCAUCUGGUCCUUACGGGCUACCUGGUGCCUGCGGGCACCGCUUUGGGGACCCCUGGAUUAGGCAGUAGAAUGACUGUACAUAGAUUAGCUCUUCUGUAUUAUUUUCACAACAGGAGAAGUCAGGAGACACAACAGUAGCCUGUCGAGGGACCAAACUAUUAUCACACUGUGUGGAUAACAGUGUCGGAGCCUUCUCUGUAAUAUAGGUUUCUGUUUCUGUUGAAACAGAAACAGUGGGGAGACACUGACUUUCUCUACUGUUAGGUUUCUGUUUCAAACGAAACAGAAACCUAAAAGUAGAGAAAGAAUAUUGACUUUUAUUUCCUUUUACUAAUGUUACAAUGAAAUAUAUCUGUAGCUUUACAUUCUAUCUGUAUUGAAAUAUAUGUGCAAUACACUUUGGUAUAUAAUGGCUUCGUUGUUAAUAUGGAAAUUAAAGUGCUGUAAUAAAUAAAUGAUCAUAAAUCUGAUCAUUCCAGUGUCUUUCUGAUGCUCAACAAAACUAAAAUAGUUUGCCAAAUGUAUAAAAAUUUAAGGUACACCUAAUUUUUACAUAGCUGCCAUCUUGGAAAUAUGCUAAUUAGGCCUCCAGACACACCCGAUCAUAAAGAUGAUUUUCCCAUCAUAUUUCUUCAGUAAUGCGGACGUUGUAUCGAUCCGUUGUGGUGAAGAAGGAGCUGAGCCGGAAGGCAAAGCUCUCAAUUUACUGGUCGAUCUACAUUCCCGUCCUCACAUAUGGUCAUGAGCUUUGGGUCAUGACCGAAAGGAUAAGAUCACGGGUACAAGCGGACGAAAUGAGUUUCCUCCGCCGGGUGGCGGGGCUCUCCCUUAGAGAUAGGGUGAGAAGCUCUGCCAUCCGGGAGGAACUCAAAGUAAAGCCGCUGCUCCUCCACAUGGAGAGGAGCCAGAUGAGGUGGUUCGGGCAUCUGGUCAGGAUGCCACCCGAACGCCUCCCCUAGGGAGGUGUUUAGGGCACGUCCAACCGGUAAGAGGCCACGGGGAAGACCCAGGACACGUUGGGAAGACUAUGUCUCCCGGCUGGCCUGGGAACGCCUCGGGAUCCCCCGGGAAGAGCUGGACGAAGUGGCUGGGGAGAGGGAAGUCUGGGCUUCCAUUCUUAGGCAGCUGCCCCCGCGACCCGACCUCGGAUAAGCGGAACAUGAAUGGUUGGAUGGAUGGAUUUCUAAUUGUCAAAAAACAUGAAAUGGACACCAAGUUUGGAUUUGUAGCUCAUUUGGUUCAAAUGUAGAGGCAAAAGCGUGUUCAGGUGGUGGCAAUAUUGGAUCAGCCGCUUUUGCGACCCCAAAGGUCACCAGCGUGGGCGCCCUGGCCAAAUCAUUCAGGUAUGCCCUGAGCUAUACCUGUGCCAAAUUUGGCGCUUUUAGACAAAAGUGAACAAACACAUCCUAAAAUCUCUCUAAGGGCCCCCACUAGAAGCCAUUCUGGUGGCGCUAAAGAGCCGCACGUUGCCGACCCCAGGCAUAAAUCAACUAUCAUAAAUGUAUUACUAUUUUUGUAAAUUGAGUGACAGUAGAUUAAUCAGUAGCAGUUUCAUGUAUAUUCUGGUCAGGAUGCCACCCGAACGCCUUCGGAGGGAGGUGUUUAGGGCACGUCCAACCGGUAGGAGGCCACGGGGAAGACCCAGGACACGUUGGGAAGACUAUGUCUCCCGGCUGGCCUGGGAACGCCUCGGGAUCCCCCGGGGAGAGCUGGACGAAUUGGCUGGGGAGAGGGAAGUCUGGGCUUCCCUGCUUAGGCUGCUGCCCCCGCGACCCGACGUCGGAUAAUCCCGGUGCCGAAGAAGAACUCUGUCAGCUGCCUGAAUGACUACCGUCCAGUGGCACUUACACCUAUAGCUAUGAAGUGCUUCGAGAAGCUGGUACGGACCCAUAUCACCUCAGUCCUCCCUCCCGAGCUCGACCCACACCAGUUUGCCUACAGAGCCAACAGGUCCACAGAGGACGCCAUCGCCACAGCCCUACACUCCUCCCUGGGUCACCUGGAGACGGGGACCUGGGUCUCUUGAACUCCAUCUGCAUGUGGAUUAAGGACUUCUUAUCCAACAACCCACAGAGGGUGCAGUUGGGUCGCCACAUGUCAUCAAGCCUGUACCUCAGCACCGGCUCUCCACAAGGCUGCGUGCUGAGCCCCCUUCUCUACUCCAUCUACACAUACGACUGCACACCUGCCCACUCCAGCAACUCCAUCAUUCAAAUUUGCGGAUGACACCACCGUAGUGGGGCUCAUCUCGGAGGGAGACGAGGCUGCAUAUCGGGACGAGGUGGAGAAGCUGUCGGAUUGGUGCAAAGUCAACAACCUGGCCCUGAACACCUCCAAGACCAAGGAGCUGGUCAUAGACUUCAGGAGGAAAAAAACGGACAUCCUGCCCCUGGUCAUCAGUGGUGACUGUAUGGAGAUGGUCUCCGACUUCCGCUUCCCGGGAGUCCACCUGGCCGACGACCUAUCCUGGAGCACCAACACCACGGCUACCAUCAAGAAGGCACACCAGUGACUGCACUUCCUGAGAAUUUCAGGAACAACCACCUCUCACAGGAACUGCUGGUGUCCUUCUACCGGUGCUCCGUUGAGAGCAUCCUGACCUACUGCAUCUGCGUGUGAUUCAGCAGCUGCACGGCCGCAGAGAGAACGGCGCUCCAGAGAGUCAUAAAGACCGCCCAGAAGUUAAUCGGAUGCCCCCUCCCCCCCCUGGCUGACCUGUACAGCUCCCGCUGUCUCAGGAAAACACAGAGCAUCCUGAAAGACCCAUUCCACCCCGGGCACAGCCACCUGGAACUGCUACCCUCAGGCAGACGCUACAGGGUGCUAAAAGCGAGCACCAAUAGACUAAAAAACAGCUUUUACCUAAGAGCCAUAGUAGCAUUAAACAGGCACUGCGUGAGCACAAUAUGUCCAUCAUGUCCUCAUGUGUAAUGUUUAGGGCUGGGCAACGAUUAAAAAUUUUAAUCGAAGUUAAUCGCACUAUUUCUCCGAUUAAUCGCGAUUAACUGCAUUGUAUACGCAAAGCCCAAUAAUGAAUUCAAAAGUAGUGUGUAGUGCACCUUUAUUGGAAUAUUCUCCCACAUGAACAAAAGCGCCAAAACAUUUGUUGUGCAAACACAAUUUAAAUCAGUCCUUGUUAAACAGUAGCAGUUAAAUAGCAUAUUUUAUGAAAAUCAACUCAAAAAAUGUAAAUACAAACAUUUAAGCUUAUUGCCACUGCCAGGGUAUUUAAGUUAUCCUGUUUGUUAUGGAAAAUAAAUAUAAUCUACAUACAAAUCUCUGAGCCACAAUCAUAACAUCUGAACAGGCAAUUUCUGAGGUAACAGCAGAAACUUUUUUUUUUAUCAGGGAUCUUAUGUUUAAAAAACCUACAUUAUAGGUAGUGGGCUGUUUUAGGGAAUUUUUGAUCAAAUUAUCCGUAGUAGCAAUAUUAAUAAUGUUGUGUUUAUUCUGCGUAGUGCACUUAAAAUAAUUAUGACCAUAUCUAGGAAUUGAUAUGAUGGAAAUUUUCCGAUUGUUUGCUUGGUGCUUUGAUAAACUGAACGCAUAUACAUGGUACUAUAUUGUGAUGUUAUGAGCCAGGGAAAAAAAGAACUACCCUAUUCAGCAUGCAACAGGAGUGACGAGCAUGCGCGGUAGCCCGGUAUAGGUUGUGUCGCCAUGACGGCAUCUUGUAUGUUGUGAUAUGCACGCUCUGAAAGCAAACGUUAAGAACUCAGCCAACACGCCUCGUCUGCAUUAUUCAUAAAUAGACAGACAACACAUAUACUCCGCUGCUUCACAGGCCGCUGGAUGUAGCCGGCAAAGUAUUCCCAUGCUAACUACCCGGUCUAGCAAGCACGCGUCAUUCAGUCCAAAACGGCCCGCUCUAUCCACAUUCAGAAUUGUCUGGCGGUCGUAAGUGAUCCCGGAGUGACCACGCUGUAAGCCAGCCAUGACAAUUGCAGAAUUGUCCGGUAUUUUGGCCAAAUGUUCCAUCUUUACCAAGAGCCCCUCGACGCCGAAGUACAUCCGGGAGAUGCCAGCUUGUUAAGAAAAGGCGUUAACAAAAUAAAAGCAUGUAAACAACAUACGCAAAUGUGCGAUAAAAUAAUUGUCGGCGUUAAUAGAUUGAUGAGUUAGCGCAUAAUUAACGCAUUAAUUUGCCCACCCCUAGUAAUGUUUAAAUUUUUUUCAAUUUUUUCGGACUACAAUGUGCAAUAAUGUUAUAUGUAUGUGUGUAUAUAUAUUCAUAUGCAUGCAGAUAUGCAUCUGUGUGGAUAUAUAUACAUAUACAUAGAUACAUCUGUCAUCUCUACCUUUUUUUUAAUAUUUAUACUACCGUAUUGUAUAUGCACCUUAGGAGGAUCUGCUCCAACUUCGUUGUUCUUUGAACCUGUUCAUUGCAAUAAUGACAAUAAAACUCUAUUCUAUUCUA